rnacentral:rRNA from 1 species
AAUAGAUACCCCGGUAGUCCACCCCGUAAACGUUGGGACUAGUUGUGGGGUCCUUUCCACGGAUUCCGUGACGCAGCUAACGCAUUAAGUUCCCCGCCUGGGGAGUACGGCCGCAAGGCUAAAACUCAAAGGAAUUGACGGGGACCCGCACAAGCGGCGGAGCAUGCGGAUUAAUUCGAUGCAACGCGAAGAACCUUACCAAGGCUUGACAUACACCGGAAACGGCCAGAGAUGGUCGCCCCGCAAGGUCGGUGUACAGGUGGUGCAUGGUUGUCGUCAGCUCGUGUCGUGAGAUGUUGGGUUAAGUCCCGCAACGAGCGCAACCCUCGUUCUAUGUUGCCAGCACGUAAUGGUGGGAACUCAUGGGAUACUGCCGGGGUCAACUCGGAGGAAGGUGGGGAUGACGUCAAAUCAUCAUGCCCCUUAUGUCUUGGGCUUCACGCAUGCUACAAUGGCCGGUACAAAGGGCUGCAAUACCGUGAGGUGGAGCGAAUACCCAAAAAGCCGGUCCCAGUUCGGAUUGAGGUCUGCAACUCGACCUCAUG